UCGCACUUGGGCGUUGUGAAGGUGAACGCAUUCCUCGUGUCCUCCAGCACGGAGUUCGGACUGGAUCUCAGCGCCUUCAGCACCACACAUAAUGGGGCACAUGAGAUAGAAUCUUUAAGCCGGGCUUUAACUGAAUGUGAACCCGCAAUUCCAGCCCUGUUCCUUUUAACCCUGGAUAAUUUUAUUGUGUGACGCAAAGAACAAUUUCUCUACGUUCUCUGGAUGCUGCGGGUGGAAUGCCCCGCCUUAGAUCGCGACUAUUCCACAGUUGCGGGUGGAAUGCUUCGAAAUCCCGCCUAAGAUUGCAUUUUCAUCACUGAAGUAUUGAUCGCCAAUCAGUCUAUCAAUCAAUCAAAUUAUCCAUGAAAUGAAUUCAU